GGGGAUGUAAUGGUUUCGACGGGGAUAGAUGGGUUUUGAUAAGCGAGCCGGGGAGCAUGAACCCGUUAAAAAUAUGCAACUCUUUUAUUAAAUAUAAAAGCAGAUUACGAUUACGCUGUGGCGGCUUAAGCCACCCUCUUUUAAGUCUUCUCCCGCGAGAUUUAAAAAGAGGCCGACAGCGGGAUACCCGAACGCUUUGUUUUUAGGUCUAAGGGGAAAUUUUUAAAAACUCGGAGAAGUUGUCCUGUUUGUGGGGUAGGUUUUCUUAAAAAUAAACGCAAACUGCGCUCGGAGAAAUUUGAAGCACAAUAUUUUCGGACAGGAGUUCGAUUCUCCUCAUCUCCACCA
rnacentral:tmRNA from 1 species